GUGAGGAAUUUUCCGCAAUGGGCGAAAGCCUGACGGAGCAAUGCCGCGUGAAGGAUGAAGGCCUAUGGGUUGUAAACUUCUUUUCUCAGAAAAGAAUUAUGACGGUAUCUGAGGAAUAAGCAUCGGCUAACUCUGUGCCAGCCGCCGCGGUAAGACAGAGGAUGCAAGCGUUAUCCGGAAUGAUUGGGCGUAAAGCGUCUGUAGGUUGUUUAAAAGGUAUUCUGUCAAAGAUGAGGGCUUAAACCUAGAUAGGCAGAAUAAACUUUUAAGCUAGAGUUUGGUAGAGGCAGAGGGAAUUCCCGGUGGAGCGGUGAAAUGCGUAGAUAUCGGGAGGAACACCAAAGGCGAAGGCACUCUGCUGGGCCAAUACUAACACUGAGAGACGAAAGCGAGGGGAGCAAAUGGGAUUAGAAACCCUUGUAGUCC
rnacentral:rRNA from 1 species